GUCCCCCGCUUUGCGAGCUUCUUCGAUGAAUAUUUUUCACUUAGCGUGUGGCCCACGCAACUGUACUUAGGGCUGAACAAAUAAUUAAAAUAUAAAAAAAUUUAUUAAAUUUGAUCCAUUAAACAUCGAUUUUGUUUUGUUAAGAUUUGAUAUCUUAAAAUUCGAUGUCCAGAAUAACUAACGGAGUCCAACGAACUUAAAAACAACUCAAAAAAAAUUCAGACGGCAA
rnacentral:lncRNA from 1 species